AACCAUAGAAACCUGCGGAGUACCUGCGGAAGGAUCAUUACAGAGUUGCAAAACUCCCUAAACCAUUGUGAACGUUACCUAAACCGUUGCUUCGGCGGGCGGCCCGGGUUCUUCCCGGCGCCCCUCGGCCCUCGCGGGCGCCCGCCGGAGGUAAACCAAACUAUUGCAUUGUAUGGCCUCUCUGAGUCUUCUGUACUGAAUAAGUCAAAACUUUUAACAACGGAUCUCAGAUCGGAAGAG
rnacentral:misc_RNA from 1 species